rnacentral:sRNA from 1 species
GGUUUUACUCUGUUUU